GCUGUGGCCUGUGUUUGCCGUGGCUGUUCAUGUUUGCUGUGGCUCAUGUUUGCCGUGGCUCGUCUUUGCCGUGGCCCGUGUUUGCCGUGGCUGUUCGUGCUUGCCAUGGCUUCUGGGCACUGCUCCUGAGGUGGGCUCUGUGUGUGCAGAGGUGACCUUGCUUUGCCUCAGGUUUGCGCCUCCAAGUUUUACACACCCUCCUUGUUUGCUGGGUCGUUUUCCACUGUAAAGGGUCGGGGAUCAUGAGCCAGAAAUCUGCAUCUUGAUGCAGGGAGAUCGUUACGUGGGACCGGACGUCAGCAGGAUCGUGGUUCUACCCGUGCACCGCCAAGUGGACGUUUAUGCCGGCGGCAGCUAGGAUCGUCGGAGAGGGCAACACAGACUUGGCCAGCGUCUGGAACAUCGGGGAAUCCUGAGGGACCUACCACGCCCUGAUAUAGUGAUGUUUUUGUUUGGUGCGUUGGUGCUGGAAGGGCUGGGGCACUUCCCUGGUAGAAGGGAGCAGGCAUCAGUGCCUGGAGCAAGGAAGACUACGAAGACUACCCACCCAGCCCUCUAACCACUCGUCUCCAGAGUUGCCAUUCAUGAUGGCCAGUGUCCCCCGGAAAUGAGUACAGUGGUGUCACACUCUGCACAGACCCCCUGGUAAAGUCAACAGCACACAUGCACUCUAAAUACUGGAGCCAGGUGUGGUGCACGCAGUUGAGGUCCCAGCUACUUGAGAGACGGAGGCAGGAGGAUCACUUCAGCCCAGCAGGUCGAGACUGCAGUGAGCUGUGAUCACGCCACUGUGCUGCCGCUUGGGUGACAAAGGGAGACCCCCUGAGACUACAGGUGCGCACCACCACGCCUAGCUGACCCCAUCUUUAAAAAUAAAAUACUGGGUCAGGCACAGUGAUUUAAUCCCAGCACCUUGGACGGCCAAGGCAGGAGGAUCACGUGAGGCCAGGAGUUCAAGACCAGCCUGGGCAACAGAGCAAGACUCCGUCUCUACAACAAAUACAAAAAUUAGCCAGACGUGGUGACACCUGUAGUCCUACCUACUCAGGAGGCUGAGGUGGGAGGAUAGCUUCAGCCUGGGAGGUCAAGGCUGCAGUGAGCCAUGAAUGAGCCACUGCACUCCAGCCUGGACAACAAAGUGAGACCCUGUCUCAAAAAAAAAAAAAAACUGUAAAAUUAGACUUUGCAUAGUGUAUACAAGACACAUGACUGUGUGUAUGACACUGUAGUAAUUCCUCACCACCGGCCAGGCACACAGUGGCUCACGCCUAUAAUCCCGGCACUUUGGGAGGCCAACGCAGGAGGAUCGCUUGAAGCCAGGAGUUCAAGACCAGCCUGGGCAACAUGGUAAAACUCUGUCUACUAAAUUGCAAAAAUUAGCCGGGCAUGAUGGCGGGCGUGGGAUGUAAAAUGGUACAGCGCUUUGGAAAACAGCCUGGCUUUUCCUCAAAAGGCUGAACAUGCAACCUGGCAAUCCUACUUCUCAGCAUCUACCUAAGAUCCCGUUUAUGUGAAAUGUCCUGAAUAGGUACAUUCGUAAGCACUAGUGGUUGCCUAGGGCUGGGGGGAUUGGGGAGAAAUGAGGAGUGACUGCUGAUGGCUGCAAGGUUCUUUUUGAAGUGCUAAAAAUAUUCUAAAACAGGCUGGUGAUGGUUGCACAAUUCUGUGAAUACACUG
rnacentral:lncRNA from 1 species